rnacentral:rRNA from 1 species
GGACCAUUCCACGCUUUUCCGCGCCACCUCUAACGCAUUAUAUGCCCCCCCUGGAGAGUACGGCCGCAAGGCUAAAACUCAUAGGAAUUGACGGGGGCCCGCACAAGCGGCGGAGCAUGCGGAUUAAUUCGAUGCAACGCGAAAAACCUUACCAAGGCUUGACAUGUUCUCGAUCGCCGUAAAGAUACUGUUUCCCCUUUGGGGCGGGUUCACAGGUGGUGCAUGGUUGUCGUCAGCUCGUGUCUUGAGAUGUUGGGUUAAGUCCCGCAACAAGCGCAACCCUCGUUCCAUGUUGCCAGCACGUCAUGGUGGGGACUCAUGGGACACUGCCGGGGUCAACUCGGAAGAAGGUGAGGACGACGUCAAAUCAUCAUGCCCCUUAUGUCUUGGGCUUCACGCAUGCUACAAUGGCCGGUACAAUGGGUUGCGAUACUGUGAGGUGGAGCUAAUCCCAAAAAGCCGGUCUCAGUUCGAUAUUGGGGUCUGCAACUCGACCCCAUGAAGUCGAGAGUCGCUAGUAAUCGCAUAUCAGCAACGCUGCGGUGAAUACGUUCCCGGGCCUUGUACACACCGCCCGUCCAGUCACGAAAGUUGGUAACACCCGAAGCCGGUGGCCUAGCCCUUGUGGGGGGAGCCGUCGAGUGUGCGACCACCGAUUGGGACUCAUUCGUAACAAGGUAUAAGUAAGUU